rnacentral:rRNA from 1 species
AGUGAACGCUGGCGGUAGGCCUAACACAUGCAAGUCGAACGGAAGCACAGUAAGAGCUUGCUCUUACGGGUGGCGAGUGGCGGACGGGAGAGGAGUACAUCGGAAUCUACUUUUUCGGGGGGGAUCACGUAGGGAAAGUUAAGCUAAUACAGCAUACGACCUUCGGGUGAAGGCGGGGGAACUUCGGACCUUGUGCGGUUGAAUGAGCCGCUGUUGGAUUAGCUAGUUGGCGGGGUGAAUGCCCAGGCAGGCGACGGUCCGUAGCUGGUCUGAGGGGAUGAUCGGCCACACUGGAGCUGGGACACGGUCCAGGCGACUACGGGAGGCAGCAGUGGGGAACAUUGGACAAUGGGCGCAAGCCUGAUCCAGCCAGACCGCGUGGGUGAAGAAGGCGUUCGGGUUGUAAAGACGGUUUGUUGGGAGAGAAAAGCAGCAGGCUAAUACCCCGCUGGUGUGACGGUACCCAAAGAAGAAGCACCGGCUAACUUCGUG